GCCGGCGGGUAAACAGUGGGUAGAGCAGUGGUUUUGUAAACCACGGGUCGAGGUUCGAAGCCCUCCGCCGGCUCCA
rnacentral:tRNA from 1 species